rnacentral:rRNA from 1 species
AUUGAACGCUGGCGGAAUGCUUUACACAUGCAAGUCGAACGGCAGCACGGGGCAACCUGGUGGCGAGUGGCGAACGGGUGAGUAAUACAUCGGAACGUGCCCAAUCGUGGGGGAUAACGUAGCGAAAGUUACGCUAAUACCGCAUACGCCCUGAGGGGGAAAGUGGGGGACCGCAAGGCCUCACGUUAUACGAGCGGCCGAUGUCGGAUUAGCUAGUUGGUGGGGUAAAGGCCUACCAAGGCGACGAUCCGUAGCGGGUCUGAGAGGAUGAUCCCCCACACUGGUACUGAGACACGGACCAGACUCCUACGGGAGGCAGCAGUAAGGAAUAUUGGACAAUGGAGGCAACUCUGAUCCAGCCAUGCCGCGUGAAGGAUUAAGGCCCUAUGGGUUGUAAACUUCUUUUAGACGGGACAAAACCCCUUUACGUGUAAAGGGUUGAUGGUACUGUCAGAAUAAGCAUCGGCUAACUUCGUGCCAGCAG